rnacentral:rRNA from 1 species
GACGAACGCUGGCGGCGUGCCUAAUACAUGCAAGUAGAACGCUGAAGGAGGAGCUUGCUUCUCUGGAUGAGUUGCGAACGGGUGAGUAACGCGUAGGUAACCUGCCUGGUAGCGGGGGAUAACUAUUGGAAACGAUAGCUAAUACCGCAUAAGAGUAGAUGUUGCAUGACAUUUGCUUAAAAGGUGCAAUUGCAUCACUACCAGAUGGACCUGCGUUGUAUUAGCUAGUUGGUGAGGUAACGGCUCACCAAGGCGACGAUACAUAGCCGACCUGAGAGGGUGAUCGGCCACACUGGGACUGAGACACGGCCCAGACUCCUACGGGAGGCAGCAGUAGGGAAUCUUCGGCAAUGGACGGAAGUCUGACCGAGCAACGCCGCGUGAGUGAAGAAGGUGUUCGGAUCGUAAAGCUCUGUUGUAAGAGAAGAACGAGUGUGAGAGUGGAAAGUUCACACUGUGACGGUAUCUUACCAGAAAGGGACGGCUAACUACGU